rnacentral:lncRNA from 1 species
GAUCUGCCAGCCUUGGCCUCCCGAGGUGCCAGGAUUGCAGACGGAGUCUCGUUCAAUCAGUGCUCAAUGUUGCCAAGGCUGGAGUGCAGUGGCAUGAUCUUGGCUAGCUACAACCUCCCCCUCCCAGCCGCCUGCCUUGGCCUCCCAAAGUGCCGAGAUUGCAGCCUCUGCCCGGCCGCCACCCCGUCUGGGAAGUGAGGAGCGUCUCUGCCUGGCUGCCCAUCAUCUGGGAUAUGAGGAGCCCCUCUGCCCGGCUGCCCAGUCUGGGAAGUGAGGAGUGCCUCUUCCCGGCCGUCAUCCCAUCUAGGAAGUAAGGAGCGUCUCUGCCCGGCCACCCAUCAUCUGAGAUGUGGGGAGCACCUCUGCUCUGCCACCCCAUCUGGGAUGUGAGGAGUGCCUCUGCCCAGCCACGACCCCGUCUGGGAGGUGCUGUUUUAGGACGUGAGAGUACACCCAAAACAAAAAUGGACAGAAAUUCCAGUCUCAUAAAUGUGAGAGAUCCAGAAGAUACUUCUACAAUUUCCCUUCAGUUACAUAUGGACACUUUAAUAAAAGAAUAUUAU